rnacentral:rRNA from 1 species
AGCGAACGCUAGCGGCGGGCCUAACACAUGCAAGUCGAGCGGGGGAGCAAUCCCCAGCGGCGGACGGGUGAGUAACACGUAGGUUAUGUGCCCUUUGGUGGGGAAUAACCGUGGGAAACCAUGGCUAAUUCCGCAUAUCGAGCGAAAAUCUUGAAAGCCUUCGGGCGCCAAAAGGAGCAAACCUGCGGCCCAUUAGCUUGUUGGUAGGGUAACGGCCUACCAAGGCGAUGAUGGGUAGCUGGUCUGAGAGGAUGAUCAGCCACACUGGAACUGAGACACGGUCCAGACUCCUACGGGAGGCAGCAGUGGGGAAUAUUGCGCAAAUGGGCGAAAAGCCUGACGCAGCCACGCCGCGUGAGUGAUGAAGGCCUUCGGUCGGUAAAC